rnacentral:tRNA from 2 species
AGUUUUGUGGUGUAGAUGCACGUCAGAUUGCAAACCUGGUGGCGCAGAUUAAACUCUGCCGAAACUU